rnacentral:rRNA from 1 species
GACAGAGGGUGCAAACGUUGUUCGGAAUUACUGGGCGUAAAGGGCGCGUAGGCGGCCUUCUAAGUCGAACGUGAAAUCCCCGGGCUCAACCCGGGAACUGCGUCCGAUACUGGAAGGCUUGAAUCCGGGAGAGGGAUGUGGAAUUCCAGGUGUAGCGGUGAAAUGCGUAGAUAUCUGGAGGAACACCGGUGGCGAAGGCGACAUCCUGGACCGGUAUUGACGCUGAGGCGCGAAAGCCAGGGGAGCAAACGGG